rnacentral:miRNA from 1 species
UGUGUAGAGGUGAGAAAAUUACU